rnacentral:lncRNA from 1 species
UUUUAACCAAACAUAUCAGUCGAUAAAGAACUAGGCCUUUAUCAAUGUCGGAUCUAAAAAAAAAAAUAAAGAUCAACUGAGAAUGAAUGAAGGUCCUUAUCAACAUUUGAUCUAUAAAAUAAGGAUCACUCUUUCUCUCUCAUCAUGAUAAAUAAAAAUCUUGAAGACAGAUCUGCUUUUGGUGGAAUAGGCUUGCAUAGGU